GCGUAGGGAUCUGUCCAUCAGAGGGGGAUAGCCCGGGGAAACUCGGAUUAAUACCGCAUACGCCCUUAGGGGGAAAUGGUGGCCUCGGCUGCCGCUGAUGGGUGAACCUGCGUGAGAUUAGCUAGUUGGUGAGGUAAAGGCUCACCAAGGCGACGAUCUCUAGCUGUUCUGAGAGGAAGAUCAGCCACACUGGGACUGAGACACGGCCCAGACUCCUACGGGAGGCAGCAGUGGGGAAUAUUGGACAAUGGGGGAAACCCUGAUCCAGCCAUGCCGCGUGUGUGAAGAAGGCUUUCGGGU
rnacentral:rRNA from 1 species